rnacentral:lncRNA from 1 species
AGGUGCUGUUACUAAGGGGAUCAGUUGAUUCGCUUAGAUUAGCUUAUCCAUUGAUUAACUACGAUGGAGGUCAGUGGCCAGGAAGAAGGCUAGAAGGUUCUCCGGAGUGGACCAUCCAAGAUCAAUAGGGGGUCGGACAAGUGGGGCUCAGUGCAACUUAAGGUCGAUUUAUCCCAUUGCGUGGAGUCUGAAAAAAAGUCAGCCCUCCGAUAUUCAAUAAGUUGUAAUAGUGUAUGAUCC